UGGGGAAUUUUGGGCAAUGGGGGAAACCCUGACCCAGCAACGCCGCGUGAAGGAUGAAGUAUUUCGGUAUGUAAACUUCGAAAGAAUAGGAAGAAUAAAUGGCGGUACUAUUUAUAAGGUCCGGCUAACUACGUGCCAGCAGCCGCGGUAAUACGUAGGGACCAAGCGUUGUUCGGAUUUACUGGGCGUAAAGGGCGCGUAGGCGGCAAUUCAAGUCAUCUGUGAAAUCUCCGGGCUUAACUCGGAACGGUCAGAUGAUACUGCUUUGCUAGAGUGCAGAAGGGGCAAUCGGAAUUCUUGGUGUAGCGGUGAAAUGCGUAGAUAUCAAGAGGAACACCUGAGGUGAAGACGGGUUGCUGGGCUGACACUGACGCUGAGGCGCGAAAGCCAGGGGAGCAAACGGGAUUAGAUACCCUAGUAGUCCCUGAGCGGGCUGGCAAGGCGCAU
rnacentral:rRNA from 1 species